UCCUAGCCCUGAUAGUAGUGAAAAUCCUUUUACUUUUUUCUUUAAAAGUAAAAGAUUGAAACGAAUAGCAGGAUUAGCU
rnacentral:sRNA from 1 species